CAAUAGCGUAUAUUAAAGUUGUUGCAGUUAAAAAGCUCGUAGUUGGAUUUCGGGGCAGCCUGGCUGGUCCGCCGCAAGGCGAGUACUGGUCAGCCGCCCUUCCUCUCGAAAGCCCCGACUGCUCUUUAUUGCAGUGGUCGGGUAGUUCGGGACGUUUACUUUGAAAAAAUUAGAGUGUUCAAGGCAGGCCUACGCCUGAAUACAUUAGCAUGGAAUAAUGGAAGAGGACCUCGGUCCUAUUUUGUUGGUUUCCAGGACCGAAGUAAUGAUUAAGAGGGACAGUUGGGGGCAUUCGUAUUUAAUUGUCAGAGGUGAAACUCUCGGAUUUAUGAAAGACGAACAACUGCGAAAGCAUUUGCCGAGGAUGUUUUCAUUAA
rnacentral:rRNA from 1 species